GCCGGGCACGGUGGCUCACGCCUGUAAUCCCAGCACUUUGGGAGGCUGAGGCGGGUGGAUCACCUGAGGUCAGGAGUUCGAGACCAGCCUGACCAAUACGGUGAAACCCCGUCUCUA
ensembl:misc_RNA Metazoa_SRP Metazoan signal recognition particle RNA